UACGGAGGGUGCAAGCGUUGCUCGGAAUUACUGGGCGUAAAGCGGACGCAGGCGGUUCGCCAAGUCGGUUGUGAAAGCCCCAGGCUCAACCUGGGAACUGCGACCGAAACUGGCGGACUUGAGUUCGGGAGAGGGAAGUGGAAUUCCUGGUGUAGAGGUGAUAUUCGUUGAUAUCAGGAGGAACACCGGCGGCGAAGGCGACUUCCUGGCCCGAUACUGACGCUCAUGUCCGAAAGCGUGGGGAGCAAACAGG
rnacentral:rRNA from 1 species